CUCCUACUUCCUCCGUCCGUAAAUACUUGUCAUCAAAAUGAAUAAAAGGGGGUGUAUCUAGAUAUAUUUUAGUUCGAGAUAUUUCUCUUUUUAUCCAUUUUGAUGAUAAAUAUUUUCGGACGGAGGGAAUACUUC
rfam:Triticum aestivum genome assembly, contig: Triticum_aestivum_CS42_TGACv1_scaffold_576827_7BL